ensembl:lncRNA
UUCAAAUAAAGAAAAUGCAGCAGUGGGAUAUUAAUAUUACUAAUAAGGUGUAUAGAUAUUUAUUUUAAAACAUCAGCAUAUUAAAUGAUACUGUGUGCACUUGAUAAUAUUUUCAGGAAGUAGAAUUUGAAUGCAGGCCACCUCAAAUGUUAAAGCCUACAAAUAUAUCAUACAAGUUAACUGAAUCUUAACUGAUGCUGAUUUUAGUUGUCUGAUUCUGUAUUUUUUCCUCUUUGUCUUUUGUUACACAGAGUGAAAUACAUCGUUAGUUUUACCUUUGCUGAGUGAACAGAUCUUUGGUUUUGCCUUUGCUGACUACUGAUCUGAUCGUCUCCACUCUGGUGACCUGCUGCAGACAACCCUCUCCCUCUAUCAUUAUCAAGCAAUUCUGUCUGUCCUAUCACUCUCCCUGCUCUAUCUAAUUUGACAGCCAUUCUAUCUUGUAUCAAUCUAUCCCAUCUGCUCUAUCUAAUUUGACAGCCAUUCCAUCUUGUAUCACUCUAUCCCUACUGCUCUAUCUAAUUUUAUCAGAACCCAGUUUUUGAGAAAUCCAAGUUUUCAGAAAUUGUUAUCAGAACUUUGUCGAUCUGUAUUCAGAAUUCUGAGAGAUCUCCACUCUCACUGCUCCUUCUUUCCUGUCCUCUCACAUCCAGUCAUUUUGUUAGAAAUUACAAGUAGAAGGUUGAAUAUACAGUAGUAGAAUUACAGUAGACUUUAUAGUAGAAACUACUUACACAGCCCUACAUUUGCAGUUUUAGUCUCAGCAUUACACUUUGGAAUAAACACUGAUAGUUUGGCUUACAGGUGAAAUUCCUUUGAUAAAUCAUAUAACAUAUACACCUUUUUAAAGGUUUAUUUGUAAUAAGAUAAUCUUGUUAUUCUGUAAUAUAUCCAAAGUGCUAUAUUCACAUAAAUAUUAGAUUAUUUCAAAUGCAUUUGGCUAGUCUGUUUCAUUGACUAUAACAUUUGACUGCAGUAAGUGUGUACUGUUAUUAUUUAAAGACAAAGCCAUUUCUGUAAGUGUAAGUGUUCAGCUGCAAUUAUCAUCGAGAAGCUGCCCUGGGGACCCAGACCCAGUUUCCUGACUGCUGCAGAACAUUCAGCUGAAGAAUCCUCAUUGCCUCUCAUUUGAUCACCACACCACCACAGCUGUUUAUAUUUGCUUUAAAAUUUAGAUAUCUGAAAAGCUAAGAGUUUUAUUAUAGUAUUUUGAUUGUUGCUAUUUAUUCUGCAUAUCCC